rnacentral:rRNA from 1 species
UACGUAGGUCGCAAGCGUUGUCCGGAUUUACUGGGCGUAAAGAGCGCGCAGGCGGCUGGUCAAGUCCGAUGUGAAAUCUCCCGGCUCAACUGGGAAACUGCAUCGGAAACUGAUCGGCUUGAAGAUGGGAGAGGGUAGUGGAAUUCCCGGUGUAGUGGUGAAAUGCGUAGAUAUCGGGAGGAACACCAGUGGCGAAGGCGACUACCUGGCCCAUUCUUGACGCUGAGGCGCGAAAGCUAGGGGAGCGAACGGGG